AACGAACGCUGGCGGCAUGCCUAACACAUGCAAGUCGAACGAGACCUUCGGGUCUAGUGGCGCACGGGUGCGUAACGCGUGGGAAUCUGCCCUUGGGUUCGGAAUAACAGUUAGAAAUGACUGCUAAUACCGGAUGAUGUCGAAAGACCAAAGAUUUAUCGCCCAAGGAUGAGCCCGCGUAGGAUUAGGUAGUUGGUGGGGUAAAGGCCCACCAAGCCGACGAUCCUUAGCUGGUCUGAGAGGAUGAUCAGCCACACUGGGACUGAGACACGGCCCAGACUCCUACGGGAGGCAGCAGUGGGGAAUAUUGGACAAUGGGCGAAAGCCUGAUCCAGCAAUGCCGCGUGAGUGAUGAAGGCCUUAGGGUUGUAAAGCUCUUUUACCAGGGAUGAUAAUGACAGUACCUGGAGAAUAAGCUCCGGCUAACUCCGUGCCAGCAGCCGCAGUAA
rnacentral:rRNA from 1 species